GAUGAAGAACGUAGUGAAAUGCGAUAAGUAAUGUGAAUUGCAGAAUUCAGUGAAUCAUCGAAUCUUUGAACGCACAUUGCGCCCGCCAGUAUUCUGGCGGGCAUGCCUGUUCAAGCGUCAUUACAACCCUCAGGCCCCCGGGCCUGGCGUUGGGGAUCGGCGGAGCCCCCCGUGGGCACACGCCGUCCCCCAAAUGCAGUGGCGGUCCCGCCGCAGCUUCCAUCGCGUAGUAGCUAACACCUCGCGACUGGAGAGCGGCGCGGCCACGCCGUAAAACACCCAACUCUUCUGAAGUUGACCUCGAAUCAGGUAGGAAUACCCGCUGAACUUAAGCAUAUCAAUAAGCGGAGGA
rnacentral:misc_RNA from 1 species